rnacentral:rRNA from 1 species
GUCAAUCGAAUAAUCAAAACUUUCAACAACGGAUCUCUUGGUUCUGGCAUCGAUGAAGAACGCAGCGAAAUGCGAUAAGUAAUGUGAAUUGCAGAAUUCAGUGAAUCAUCGAAUCUUUGAACGCACAUUGCGCCCCUCGGCAUUCCGAGGGGCAUGCCUGUUCGAGCGUCAUUA